ACUCGGUUUGCGUAGCUUAUUUUGAGUUAAGCCAUGCAGUGGAGGGCUUGGUGUGUUAAGUGAGAGACCCCUGGAGAGAAAAAGGACACUUUUCCUGCUAGGAGAGAACCAAACCCAUAUUUUUUUCCUCCUCUCAAUCAUGCAAAAAGACAAAACCUAAAGGUCCCCGUGUCAGUUGCUGAUUUCUCAGUCAGAUUCACCCGGGAGGAGUGGGAGAUCUUGGAGGAAUGGCAGAAAGAGCUGUACUGGGAUGUGAUGAAAGAGAACUAUGAGACAUUGAUAUGGCUCGGUUGUGAGACACCAGAACUUGCCUUCCUGUUGCUGCCUGAGGAAGAAGGAAAGCCCUGUGUGGAGAGUGCCUCAGCCAGGGACACCAUGGCCCCCGUGUCUGUGGGUGAGUAUGCGAAAUGACAGUGGGAGAAAAGAAAUGCCCCGUAGCGAAGGCGAGCUGGCUGAAACGUUUCAGGCCCGAAGGUUCUGUUGCAGAAAAGGGGCCUUGUUUUGAAAGAUAGCUGAGUCCAAAGCAGACUGUGAAG